UACGAAGGGGGCUAGCGUUGUUCGGAUUUACUGGGCGUAAAGCGCACGUAGGCGGAUCGAUCAGUCAGGGGUGAAAUCCCAGGGCUCAACCCUGGAACUGCCUUUGAUACUGUCGAUCUGGAGUAUGGAAGAGGUGAGUGGAAUUCCGAGUGUAGAGGUGAAAUUCGUAGAUAUUCGGAGGAACACCAGUGGCGAAGGCGGCUCACUGGUCCAUUACUGACGCUGAGGUGACGAAAGCGGUGGGGAGCAAACAGG
rnacentral:rRNA from 1 species